CUUUAUUUUAUGUUAAAAGCCCUAGCGCCGCACCCUUAGUUUUCUCCUCUUCGCCGCCGCCCUCUCCCGCUUCGCCGCCGUUAACCACCUAAGGAAAUUCUGAAUCAGAAAAUGAGUUACCGCCUCCUCCGCCGUUACCUACGAACUUCAAAACGAACCAUAUAGAUCGUGUCGAUUACACUAAUUCGGAUCAAUCUACUGCUCGAGCUGACCAUUGUAGAAAUUAUUAUCGACUUAGCUUUUGUCGAGGUGUGUCUCUUUAUAUGGUGCUAUGUGAAUUGUUUGACUGUUUGUUUGCUUGGUUGGUUGAAAUAUUAUUGAAAGCAUGUCUGAUUGUGAAUAUGUUGUGAUAAUUGGAAUUUGGAAAAAUUGUUACCAUGUGAUGCAUGUUUAAUUAUGUGAACUUAUUGAGUAAAUGUGAUUGAUUUGUCGGAAUAAAUAUAUGCUUCGAAAUAUUUACAUGCUUCUAAAAUAUUGUUAUUCGGAUCGGAUUAGACAUCGGAUGUAUAUAUCAUUCUGCAUUUCAUGUUGAGAUGAUUAUUGAUAGGGGAAGUUCAGUACAUUCACUUGACGCAGUGAAUGUCACUUUUAUUUGGAUUCAGUGACAUCUGUCUUUGUGGCGGACUCCACUUAUAUUGUGUGUGGGUUGGAAUUAAUGUGGUUCGGGGUGUGACAGGAGUACGAGCGGGUGCAUUAGCAUUUGCUUAUCAUUUACAUUGUGAUUACCGUUGAUGAUUUGUUGUAUAAAUAUUAUUGUUUGUUACUAAUUAUGCUGCGAGUUAUGUUUGUUGCACUUUAAAGACAUACUAAGCCUUGUAGCUU